rnacentral:rRNA from 1 species
GAUGAACGCUAGCGGUGUGCUUAAAGCAUGCAAGUCGAACGUGAACCCUUGGAUUCGUCUGGGGGUGAAAGUGGCGAACGGGUGAGUAACGCGUUGGUGAUCUGCUCCGGCGUGGGGAAUAACUAUUGGACACGAUAGCUAAUACCGCAUACGACCUGAGGGUAAAAGUGGGCGACCGCAAGGCCUCACGCUAUAGGAGCGGCCGAUGGAAGAUUAGCUAGUUGGUAGGGUAAAGGCCUACCAAGGCGACGAUCUUUAGCGGGUCUGAGAGGGCGAUCCGCCACACUGGGACUGAGACACGGCCCAGACUGCUACGGGAGGCAGCAGUGGGGAAUUUUGGACAAUGGGCGAAAGCCUGAUCCAGCCAUGCCGCGUGUGUGUAGAAGGUCUUCGGAUUGUAAAGCACUUUAAGUUGGGAGGAAGGGUUGUAGAUUAAUACUCUGCAAUUUUGACGUUACCGACAGAAUAAGCACCGGCUAACUUCGUGCCAGCCGCCGCUGUAAUAC